rnacentral:lncRNA from 1 species
AUUUGUAUGAACAUACUAGCCAAGUCUCUAAUAAGGUAGAGAUCUGAGACAAUUGUCUGGACAAUUUAGGCAAAAAGUCUAUAACUGAGAGAAAACUGAGCUUGAAUUAAUUAUCCAAAUUAGCUGUCUAUGUUAAUUGAACACACCAACUAAAUACUUGACUCUUCAUUUGACCUUUGUAGACACAACUUUUGGCACUUGCCAGCCCUCAUAAGCCUGACAAGAGAAGAAAGCAUAAGAGAUAAUGUGGCAGGUCUUCAUGCAGGAGAGACAUCAGAGAAUUGAGCUCCAAGGAAUCAGAAACACCGAGAAACCUGUUGCUGAGAUCCCGUCUACUGACUUGUCUGGAGAGUUCUCCAUCUGGCUCAAUAGCUGUGAUCAAGAAGGGGCAAGAACGUUUGGACUUCUACUUCUGAUGAGAACAGAAGUUUGCAGGUCGGAAUAUGAGGAGAUAAGAGAGAGAUGGAACUUCUGGGGAGUUGACUUUCUCCGAACCUGACUGUUGCACACCCUGAACCUUCGAAUAUUUCAUAUCAGGUCCCAGGGAGCACGUGGCCAUGGCCAUGGGCUGGUUUUUGGUAAACAGAAAGGGCAGUUUUUUUCUCUCAUCCACUUUCCAUGUGGCCCCUAGGAUGUUUAUUCCUGAGAGUGACUGAAGAUGAGGACUGGGUGGAAGAGGCAGGAUAGUCUUACUCAACUAUGAGAAUGUUUUCUAUGUCCUUUUAUGCUUUAUCAGGGUAAAAUCCAACCGGAUUCUCCAGUUUAUUAGUAAGGGAAUUAUUCGGGGUAGUUAAGGCAGAAUACCUUGACCAGUGAAAACUGUUUCCGAUGUAAUGAGAAGCGGCUGAGCGGAGUGGAAAUGGUGGGGGACCCGCUUGAAUUCUGCCCCGGACCCCUUAAGACCAACUGACAGCUUCGUUGAUAAUAAACACCUUGAAUUACGGAUUCCGGGGCA